UUGCCUUCCCUCACCGGUGCGUUUUACCUCUCGAGGCACCGUAAGUUUGAAGUCCUCCAAACCAGGUGCGCUGCUCGAAAUUCUGCCCACUGGGAAGAUUUUCCUUCACUGCUGUUCUUCAGGGAUGUCCCAGAAAGGUGCUAUAGUGCUGCAGCUGUCCACUUUCGGGUGGUGCCUGCAUAUCAUGUUGCCUGGCCAGUACUGGCUGGGAACUAAAAGUGGCUCCCAUUGAUAUUUUAAAUAGUGUAUUCAUGAAAAGCCCACACAAGAGAAUGCUUUUUGGCAACAAUUUGAUUAAAAUGUCUUUCUAACAUAGUUAAGUAUUGAGUCGAUUCAAGAAAUGUAAGGGAAAAGUACCUAUAUUGGAUGCACUAUAUAACCAUUGCUACAAAAUUGUGCUUUCAUGGGUUAUCUCUUUUAGAAAUGAUGCCAAGAAAACAGAGCAAUCAGUGUGAAAAUUGGUAGUAAAGAUUGGGAAUUAUUGUUUUAACUGGAAAUAAACUGUUUUUUUGUUGUUGUUGUUUUUUGUUUUUCCAGAUAGCAUGGAUUAUGUGAUUGGUUAGUCUGGGAUUGCUUAGUUUUGUUUUGUUCUAAGCCACAGAUCCUACUCAUGCAUCUUCUGAGUUGCCUUGUCAUUGCACAUAAGGUCAAGUCCUUACAGCCCUUCCUUUUGUGCAGUGUCAGAAUUGAAUAUCUCCUUAGCUGUAACAUAGUCUAUAUACCCUGGGAAAUACUGCUUCCUAAAUGCCAUACAACCUUCAGAAAACUUCUUAGCUCUCAUUAGAUGAUGCAGAAUAAUAAGAAUUAUACCCAGACAUAUAUCCCUUGAUAUGCAUAUGGCCCCGCAGCCUUGUGGAAAAGAACUUGAGUUCACUCUCAGUUGCGUUCCCACAGAAGUUGAGAUGGCAGAGAAAAACAGUAGGGCGUCCUUAGUGAACACCGCAAUGAUUAUGACAGAGUAGGCCAGACUGACCAAGAGGGCCUAGAUAUAAGUAAACCAAAUUGGUAUGAAGCUGGCCUAAUCAUCCUUUGGACCCAACCCACUAUAGGGUUGUAGCAUGAUUUUUUUUUUAAUAAUGUUGCUCAUUCCCUAAUAGAACUAUAGAUUUAUUUGUUUAUUGCCUAUUUUGCCCUUAGGACAGGAACUUUUUUUUUUAUUAUUGCAUCUCUAAUAUUCAGCAAAACCUGGCAAAAGUAGACAUUCAAUUAAUAUCUGCUAAAUACAUUAUUUAAUUUUGUAAAUUUUAAUUUUUAAUAAGUAAAUCAAUUUUAAACAAUAUUCUAAUUUACCACUUUCUUUAUAAUUUCAACUUUUAUUUUAGUUUCAGAGGUACAUGUGCUGAUUUGUUACAUGAGUAUAUUGUGUGAUGCUAAAAUUUGGGGUAUGAAUGAUGUCAUUACCCAGUUAGUGAGCAUAGUACCUACUAGGUAGUUUUUUAGCUCUUGCCUCUCUCCCUCUCUCCCUACUCUGGUAGUCCCCAAUGUCUGUCAUUCCAUCUUUAUGUCCAUGUGUAUCCAAUGCUUAGCUUACACUUAUGAGUAAGAACAUGUGGUAUUUGGUUUUCUGUUCCUGCAUUAAUUUGCUUAGGAUAAUGGUCUGCAGCUGCAUUCAUGUUGCUGCAAAGGACAUGAUUUCAUUAUUUCCUAUACUACUGUGUAGUAUUCCAUGGUGUAUAUGCACCACAUGUUAUUUAUUCAAUCUACUGUUGAUGAGCACGUAGAUUGAUUCCAUGUCUUUGUUCUUAGGAAUAGUGCUGUAAUGAACAUAUGAGUAUGUGUGUCUUUUUGGUAGAAUGAUUUGUUUUCUUUUGAGUAUAUAUAUAUAUAUAUAUAGUAGUGGGAAUGCUGAGUCGAAUGACAGUUCUGUUUUAAGUUUUCUGAGAUAUCUCCAAACUGCUUUCUCCAGUGGCUGAGCUACUUUGCAUUCCCACUAACAAUGGAUAAGAAUUCCCUUUUCUUUUCAGCCUUGCCAGCAUCUGUUAUUUUUUGACU
rnacentral:lncRNA from 1 species